rnacentral:lncRNA from 1 species
CCUAACCUUGGGAAUCGCAUAGCCUUGCACCACUUCACAAUAGUCACAAGCCCACCCAAAUUCUGGGGGAGGGAACGUAGACAUCACCUCUCACUGGGACAACGUGUGGCGUUGGAGAUAUUGUUGUGGCCAUCUUUGCCACAUAAUUUGCUACAAACAUACUUUGUUACUCGAGGCGGUAGAUCACUCCAACUCCUGCAUGAAGAAUGGACAGGAGAGGAAGAAUCUGGAAGCAGGGAGACCAGUAGGGGAGGUUGAGCCCCACCCAGUUUCCAAUGAGUUCCAGAAGGUGUGGCUGCCACAGAAAAGGUCUUGUAAUACACAGCCGUGGAGAGAAUGAACUGAGUGAAUCCCUCUCCCUGGCAGGCACCUCCUCCAUGCCAGGCCUGAUGCCAGCCCCAGGGAUGACAACAACUCAGGCUUACAAUUCACUUCAUGGUUUACAAAGAGCUUCCACCAGAGAAUUCACAACCACCCUGCAAAGUAGGCGUUCAAGCUUGUGUCCAUUUCCCACACAUGGACACUGAGGCCCAGUGAGGUUGGGUGACUUUCCCAGUCACAGCCAGUAUGUGACAGAGCUAAUAUUUAAAUCUAGGCCUGCUCGCUCCAGAGCCCACGCUCCUUCCAUGCUGUGAAAACAAAGCAAAGGAAUACAUGAACACUCGGAAAUUUUGGAAAAUGCAGGAAAGGAGAAGGAAGGGGAGAAAUCCUACACAGCUCCCUCCUUUGCCCCGGGAUAUAUUUCAUUAACAGUGUGGGAACCGCCUACUUGUUUUGGCUGAGUCUCUGGGAACAAGGAAGUGACCUGGCCAACGUCACACAGAUGCAAGCAGCACAGUCAGGAUGUGGACCCAGACUGUCGGACACCACAAUUCAAGAUUGAAGACUGGGAACAGAGACAGCCUGUUGGACCUGGGGCGUCGGGGAUGAGAAGUUUAAUUUCCCAGGAGCUGCUGGUGGCUGGAGCAGACCCUGGAGGCCGGGAGAGGGCUGUGAACACAGGCAUGGCAGCCAGCUGGGGUCUUCCUGCGGUUAGAUGGAGCUGGAUGGUGGCUCCACUCCCACACAUGCUCUCCCUGGGUUGGGGCCUCCCCAGUGAGAGGGGCAAAGACCAGAAGUUUUAGAGCCAGGGACCUCUACACACUUGCUUUGUGACCUUGGGCAAGUCACUCCCCUGCUCUGUGCCUUAGACUCCUCUUUGAUAAAGUAGGGUGCCAAAUGGCUCCUGUUUCUUUG